rnacentral:rRNA from 1 species
AACGAACGCUGGCGGCAGGCUUAACACAUGCAAGUCGAGCGCCCCGCAAGGGGAGCGGCAGACGGGUGAGUAACGCGUGGGAAUCUACCCAUCUCUACGGAAUAACGCAUGGAAACGUGUGCUAAUACCGUAUACGUCCUUCGGGAGAAAGAUUUAUCGGAGAUGGAUGAGCCCGCGGUGGAUUAGCUAGCUGGUGGGGUAAAGGCCUACCAAGGCGACGAUCCAUAGCUGGUCUGAGAGGAUGAUCAGCCACACUGGGACUGAGACACGGCCCAGACUCCUGCGGGAGGCAGCAGUGGGGAAUAUUGGACGAUGGGCGCAAGCCUGAUCCAGCCAUGCCGCGUAAGUGAUGGAGGCCCUAUGGUUGUAAAGCUCUUUCACCGGUGAAGAUAAUGACGGUAACCGGAGAAGAAGCCCCGGCUAACUUCGUGCCAGCCGCCGCCGUAACAC